rnacentral:rRNA from 1 species
UACGGGGGGGAGCAAGCGUUGUUCGGAUUUACUGGGCGUAAAGGGCGCGUAGGCGGCGUGACAAGUCACUUGUGAAAUCUCCGGGCUUAACUCGGAACGGUCAAGUGAUACUGUCGUGCUAGAGUACAGAAGGGGCAACUGGAAUUCUCGGUGUAGCGGUGAAAUGCGUAGAUAUCGAGAGGAACACCUGCGGCGAAGGCGGGUUGCUGGGCUGAUACUGACGCUGAGGCGCGAAAGCUAGGGGGAGCGAACAGG